rnacentral:snoRNA from 1 species
AGUGCAAAUGAUGACACCUGUUCAGCGACCAAAGUCUGACAAAAAUGAUUCCUAUUUUAUUGUCUGAUGCACC